rnacentral:rRNA from 1 species
AUGCUGGAGGUAUCAGAAGUGCGAAUGCUGACAUAAGUAACGAUAAAGCGGGUGAAAAGCCCGCUCGCCGGAAGACCAAGGGUUCCUGUCCAACGUUAAUCGGGGCAGGGUGAGUCGACCCCUAAGGCGAGGCCGAAAGGCGUAGUCGAUGGGAAACAGGUUAAUAUUCCUGUACUUGGUGUUACUGCGAAGGGGGGACGGAGAAGGCUAUGUUGGCCGGGCGACGGUUGUCCCGGUUUAAGCGUGUAGGCUGGUUUUCCAGGCAAAUCCGGAAAAUCAAGGCUGAGGCGUGAUGACGAGGCACUACGGUGCUGAAGCAACAAAUGCCCUGCUUCCAGGAAAAGCCUCUAAGCAUCAGGUAACAUCAAAUCGUACCCCAAACCGACACAGGUGGUCAGGUAGAGAAUACCAAGGCGCUUGAGAGAACUCGGGUGAAGGAACUAGGCAAAAUGGUGCCGUAACUUCGGGAGAAGGCACGCUGAUAUGUAGGUGAAGUCCCUCGCGGAUGGAGCUGAAAUCAGUCGAAGAUACCAGCUGGCUGCAACUGUUUAUUAAAAACACAGCACUGUGCAAACACGAAAGUGGACGUAUACGGUGUGACGCCUGCCCGGUGCCGGAAGGUUAAUUGAUGGGGUUAGCGCAAGCGAAGCUCUUGAUCGAAGCCCCGGUAAACGGCGGCCGUAACUAUAACGGUCCUAAGGUAGCGAAAUUCCUUGUCGGGUAAGUUCCGACCUGCACGAAUGGCGUAAUGAUGGCCAGGCUGUCUCCACCCGAGACUCAGUGAAAUUGAACUCGCUGUGAAGAUGCAGUGUACCCGCGGCAAGACGGAAAGACCCCGUGAACCUUUACUAUAGCUUGACACUGAACAUUGAGCCUUGAUGUGUAGGAUAGGUGGGAGGCUUAGAAGUGUGGACGCCAGUCUGCAUGGAGCCGACCUUGAAAUACCACCCUUUAAUGUUUGAUGUUCUAACGUUGACCCGUAAUCCGGGUUGCGGACAGUGUCUGGUGGGUAGUUUGACUGGGGCGGUCUCCUCCUAAAGAGUAACGGAGGAGCACGAAGGUUGGCUAAUCCUGGUCGGACAUCAGGAGGUUAGUGCAAUGGCAUAAGCCAGCUUGACUGCGAGCGUGACGGCGCGAGCAGGUGCGAAAGCAGGUCAUAGUGAUCCGGUGGUUCUGAAUGGAAGGGCCAUCGCUCAACGGAUAAAAGGUACUCCGGGGAUAACAGGCUGAUACCGCCCAAGAGUUCAUAUCGACGGCGGUGUUUGGCACCUCGAUGUCGGCUCAUCACAUCCUGGGGCUGAAGUAGGUCCCAAGGGUAUGGCUGUUCGCCAUUUAAAGUGGUACGCGAGCUGGGUUUAGAACGUCGUGAGACAGUUCGGUCCCUAUCUGCCGUGGGCGCUGGAGAACUGAGGGGGGCUGCUCCUAGUACGAGAGGACCGGAGUGGACGCAUCACUGGUGUUCGGGUUGUCAUGCCAAUGGCACUGCCCGGUAGCUAAAUGCGGAAGAGAUAAGUGCUGAAAGCAUCUAAGCACGAAACUUGCCCCGAGAUGAGUUCUCCCUGACUCCUUGAGAGUCCUGAAGGAACGUUGAAGACGACGACGUUGAUAGGCCGGGUGUGUAAGCGCAGCGAUGCGUUGAGCUAACCGGUACUAAUGAACCGUGAGGCUUAACCUU